rnacentral:lncRNA from 1 species
CUAGCUCUAGGACCCAACUUCCUUUCUUUCUUUCUUCUCUUAUCUUAUAUAUCCCCCCCUAACACCACCCCCACCUAUCUCUCUCUCUCUCUCUACGCUAAGACAGAAACUUUGGUGACCAAAAGCCGGUUAGCUCCUUGCUCCCUUGUGAUUUGGAGCAAAAACAGAAACUACCCACCUGAGUUAAGAGGCCUCAAAUGGAAAGACACAGUGAGAUUUUAUGGAAAGACUUCAAGUGUAGGUAGAGUUAGAGAGGUGUUUGUAGAGUUUAAGAAGAGGUAGACUAGACCAUGCCACCUUCU